rnacentral:rRNA from 1 species
UACGUAGGGUGCAGGCGUUAAUCGGAAUUACUGGGCGUAAAGCGUGCGCAGGCGGUUUCUUAAGUCAGAUGUGAAAGCCCCGGGCUUAACCUGGGAACUGCGUUUGAAACUGGGAGACUUGAGUGUGGCAGAGGGGGGUGGAAUUCCACGUGUAGCAGUGAAAUGCGUAGAUAUGUGGAGGAACACCAAUGGCGAAGGCAGCCCCCUGGGUCAACACUGACGCUGAGGUGCGAAAGCGUGGGGAGCAAACAGG